rnacentral:rRNA from 1 species
AGACGUGUGAACUAUGUGAGCCCGUUGACAGGGCAGACAAUGAUUUGGGUCAGGAACGUAAUAAUAUUACAAUCCUAUAGAGUUUGAUCAUGGCUCAGAUUGAACGCUGGCGGCAGGCCUAACACAUGCAAGUCGAACGGUAGCACAGAGAGCUUGCUCUCGGGUGACGAGUGGCGGACGGGUGAGUAAUGUCUGGGAAACUGCCUGAUGGAGGGGGAUAACUACUGGAAACGGUAGCUAAUACCGCAUAACGUCUUCGGACCAAAGUGGGGGACCUUCGGGCCUCACACCAUCGGAUGUGCCCAGAUGGGAUUAGCUAGUAGGUGGGGUAAUGGCUCACCUAGGCGACGAUCCCUAGCUGGUCUGAGAGGAUGACCAGCCACACUGGAACUGAGACACGGUCCAGACUCCUACGGGAGGCAGCAGUGGGGAAUAUUGCACAAUGGGCGCAAGCCUGAUGCAGCCAUGCCGCGUGUAUGAAGAAGGCCUUCGGGUUGUAAAGUACUUUCAGCGGGGAGGAAGGCGAUAAGGUUAAUAACCUUGUCGAUUGACGUUACCCGCAGAAGAAGCACCGGCUA